CAAGACUCCUACGGGAAGGCAGCAGUGGGGAAUAUUGCACAAUGGGCGCAACCCUGAUGCAGCCAUGCCGCGUGUGUGAAGAAGGCCUUCGGGUUGUAAAGCACUUUCAGUCGUGAGGAAGGUAGUGUAGUUAAUAGAUGCAUUAUUUGACGUUAGCGACAGAAGAAG
rnacentral:rRNA from 1 species